UGAAAAUAAAUAUUUUUUAAAAACACUUAUUGUAUUAAGUUGUAUAUGAGAAGUUCGAUUGUUGAUGGAACCAAAGAAAGGUUUAGAUGAAAAGAGAAGAAAAAAGCCUAGAAACUCAAAUGAUUCUACAAUAAACAACGAUCAUAAACAAGCAAAAAGUGUUAGAAAUGGUGUUCGUUCAACAAGAAAACGCUUAUCUAUGAACUUUGACUCUCAGGGUAUUAACGAAGUGGAGAUCACAAAGCAUAGAAGAAAAGUACAGUCAAAUAUAAAUGGCAAAAAAGGACAAAGUGUUUCCAAAAAGAAAAAAUCAAGACCAAUUAAUCUUUCUCCUGAUUUGGAAGAUAGUUACAAUGAGGAUGCAGAAUUACCUGACAUUUUUCAUAUUGACAAUGAUGAUAUUAUAAAAGCAAGAGAUAUGGAUCCAAGUGUAAAGAUUUUAUCAAAUGUUAUUAUUCCUCCAUCACAACCAAGUCAACGCAGAGAUAUUUUUUACAUAGAAAAAAAAGAUGGCCAAGGUUUUGCAAAAGAAUAUAAACGUGUUUCAAAACUUCAUCAACUUAAUUUUGCAGAGGAUAUUUUUGAAGAUAGUAGAAAACCUACGCCUUUACAGUUUGUAUUGAAAUUUCAUCAAGCAUUUACAAGCUUUGCAGUUAUUUGUCAUGGGUUGUUAGCAGGUAUUGCUUCUUCGCAAUGUGUAUUUAUCUAUACGUUAUCAAAAAUUGAUGAAAAAUUCAUUUUAAAUUACUACCAUAUUCUUGCCUCGCCUUUUCAGUCAGUUUUUUAUUUUUUGUUUGCUGUAUGUGCAGUUUCUGUGCUUGACAGAUAUGUUAAUAUAAGCAAUGGUUGGCACCAGUUUUUUCUGGCUUUACUUUCGAAACCUUCAAGAGCUGUUGCUUUAGUUGUUUACUUUUUUUCGAUGACAUUCUCCGUUAGCCUCGCUCAGCUUGAUGAUCGAAUUGAUUUAUAUUCUGAUAUUCCAACACUUUGGUAAUGAUCUAUGAUUGUUCUCGAUGCAAGGGAGGCGGAUGGGAUAGAGGGAAAUGAAAAAACUGCUUUGGUCAGAUGUUGGAAACCGUUUGGAGACAUGGAAAGUGAUAAAUUUACUCAGAGUUAUUGGUUCAGUUUUAGGUUGGAUUGUUGUGUGCUUAAAUCUUGUCGACGAUGAAACUAAAGAAACUUUAACAAAAGCAAUCAAUGAAGAAUCUUCUUACCAGAAUUCCAUUUAAAAAUAUUUUUUUUAAAAAUAAUAUCAAAGUAAUAUUUUUUAAUAUAUUAAUAUAAGUGUAUAUAUUUUAUCUAUUGUUACUGUAAAUAGCUUAGUUUAUGUAAAUACGGUAAU
rnacentral:misc_RNA from 1 species